AAAUGUGAGGGUGUAUGGAAUUGAGCCCUGAAGAUUUAUGGUGGCUAACCCCUUGUCACAUACCAUCUGCAGAGGCUGGUGAGGUUUCCUUGUGGCCUGUGCUUGAGAAGAUCUGCAAGGUAAAAAGAGGCUUGUGACUCUUGCGUGGAAAUUCCCCUUUUAGCCUAAGUUAACUGUGUGUGUUGCUGGGCCACGGCUGAGGGGAUGGUUUUGCAAUUAAAUUACCUAUUAGCAGCAAAGGCUGCCGUGUUCAGGCUGGCGAAUGCCGAAUGCCUCCCUCACGGAGAAGAAGGGAGUUUGUCUCACUCUGAUGUGUUCAGCUGACUUUGAUGCUGCUGUGUAUAAAUUUUUAUUUUUGUGCUUUUUAAUGCAGUUGUGUGCAACCAAGCUGUUUUCCCAUGUGUGGCAAUAGCCUGAGGUGCCUCAUCUCAUCAUCACCAGAACAGCUUUGAAAGAUCUGUGCCUGUUUUGCUGUGCAGUAGAAGUUUCCCUUGUGAAGCAAGCAGCAUUAGGCCUGCAGUCAUGCAGCUGGACUGUCAUUUGAAAGCUGAGGAGGCAUGGGCCGGAUGAACAAAUUGGAGAUGGAUUGAAAGUUGGUUGAACUAUUGGACUCAAAGGUGCAAGGAUGAAAGACAAUGCCCGUAAGUUUCGGCAAAGGAAGUUCUGACCAGGUAUAAGAAAAGAAAUUCUUCACAGAAAGGGUGGGUAAACACUGGAGGAGGUGCCCAUACAGGCUGCGAGACCUCCAUCCUUGGAGGUGUUCAAAACACAGCUGGACAAGGCAACCUUCUAACUGAGUGACUUCAUCUAACUUUGAAGUUGGCCCUGCUUUGAGCAGGGGUUGGAAUAGAUGACCUUCUUUCCAACCUAAAUUUUUCUAUAAUUGUGUUCUGGGGAGGCAAUAAGCAUAGUUCUCCAACUUCUUUCUGACCUUUUCUUUACCUUUCUCUCCCUUUCCUCUUGAAAAUAGAGGUUAUAUGGAGUAGGAACGGGUGGAAUAGCCUUGUUCUAGUUCUGUAAAAUAACAUGUGCAGAAGCAGAAAUGCUAGUUAAAUGUGCAGUCAGUGCAAGACUGUUUGUUAGGGAUAUUUAUGUGAUAAUAUCUGCCACUAGUUUUUUCUCUCCAUGUGAUUAGCAUUCCCUCUCUCCAACCCCCUUGGCAUGCAAAUAGGACCACUUUCCAAUCCCUUGCACUCCACAUCCCCCCUGUGAGACACAAACCAAGCUGAGCUUGCUUAACUGUACUCCUGACCUUGUUACCUUGUUUUCCAGGGUCACCUUGCCCUGACAAUGUGACUGCUUGCUCACGCACACUGCUUUCAAAGUAACAACCAUUGGGUGUGACAUGCUGAGCAAAACACAAACAGCAAUUUCACUUGUCAGGAAGUUCCUCUGGUUUGACAGCUGACUGUGUUGACUCACUGAUAGCGCUUUUUUUUUUUUUUUUUUUUUAACCCUGAGAACUACUGCUGUAGACCGACUUUUACUUGGAGAACAGUAUUGCUUGUGCACCUGAACUGCACUGUGUACAUGCUGUGUGUUUCAGAAAUACACAGUAAGUGUUUGAUGCCUGCUAAAUAUUGCUUUGAUUAAAGCUUAACACCCACAUAGCAACUGAGGUGUUUAGUGUGUGGUAGGAACACAAACCAAUCUGGUUGUUAAUAACCCUUUUACAGUUGCGGAAGCCAUAAGACAUUUGUGUGAAGUUAACGAAAUGUGCAUGGAGAAAAUCCUUAUAAAUGGGUAAUGGCUA